AGGUCAAGCGAAGAAGAGCGCAGGGUGGAUGCCUUGGCACUAAGAGCCGAUGAAAGACGUGAUAAGCUGCGAAAAGUCACGGGGAGGAGCAAAUAUCCAUUGAUCCGUGAAUAUCUGAAUGGGGAAACCCACAUGAGAAUACCUCAUGUAUCCAUACGCCAAUCCAUAACGUAUGGAAGGGAACCCGGUGAACUGAAACAUCUAAGUAGCCGGAGGAAGAGAAAGAAAAAUCGAUUUCCAAAGUAGCGGCGAGCGAAAUGGAAAGAGCCCAAACCGGAGUGCGUGCAUUCCGGGGUUCGGACCGCAUAAUUGAUUCAGCAAUUCCAGCAGAACUGUUUUGGGAAAGCAGACCAGAGAGGGUGAAAGUCCCGUAAGCGAAAGAAGAGCUGACAUGGCGGUAUCCAGAGUACAUCGAGACACGAGAAACCUUGAUGGAAUAAGCGGGGACCACCCCGUAAGGCUAAAUACUACUUAGUGACCGAUAGCGCAUAGUACUGUGAAGGAAAGGUGAAAAGGACCCCGGGAGGGGAGUGAAAGAGAACCUGAAACCCUGUGUUUACAAGCUGUGGAAGCACUUUAUAUGUGCGACCGCGUACUUUUUGUAGAACGGUCCGGCGAGUUACGCUUACUGGCGAGGUUAAGGACUUAAGGUCCGGAGCCGAAGGGAAACCAAGUCUUAAUAGGGCGGUUAUAGUCAGUAGGAGUAGACCCGAAACCGGGUGAUCUAUCCAUGUCCAGGUUGAAGAUGCCGUAAAAGGCGUUGGAGGACCGAACCCACAUCCGUUGAAAAGGGUGGGGAUGAGGUGUGGAUAGGGGAGAAAUUCCAAUCGAACCCGGAGAUAGCUGGUUCUCCUCGAAAUAGCUUUAGGGCUAGCCUCGUUUUAGUCUUGUGGAGGUAGAGCACUGAAUUUCCGCGGGGGCGUCAAAGCUUACCAAAGAAUAUCAAACUCCGAAUGCCAUUAAGAUGAUGAACGGGAGUCAGACUGUACGAGAUAAGUUGGACAGUCAAAAGGGAAAGAGCCCAGACCACCAGCUAAGGUCCCAAAGUGUGUGUUAAGUGGAAAAGGAUGUGGGGAUUCAAAGACAACUAGGAUGUUGGCUCAGAAGCAGCCAUUCAUUCAAAGAGUGCGUAACAGCUCACUAGUCGAGAGUCCCUGCGCCGAAAAUGUCCGGGGCUGAAACACAACACCGAAGCUGUGGAAUCAUACCUAGUAUGAUUGGUAGAGGAGCAUUCUUAAGACCGACGAAGCUGUACCGAUAAGGAGCAGUGGAGGGAUAAGAAGAGAGAAUGCCGGAAUGAGUAGCGAGAGGAAGGUGAGAAUCCUUCCGGCCGAAUAUCCAAGGAUUCCAGGGUAAAGCUGAUCUGCCCUGGGUAAGUCGGGACCUAAGGAGAGGCCGAGAGGCGUAUCCGAUGGACAACAGGUUUAGAUUCCUGUACCACAUAUGGUCAGAACUGUGGGGACGCAGAAGGAAAGCAUGAGCCAGGAAUGGAAAUACUGGUACAAGCAGAGGGGAUGGUGUGCUGGCAAAUCCGCACACAAAAGUCCUUGCUGUGAUGUGGAGCGAACUAGAGUAGCGAAGCAUGCGGACCGGCUGCCGAGAAAAGCCGCUAUUGUGCCAUAUGUGCCCGUACCGUAAACCGACACAGGUGGAUGAGGAGAGAAUCCUAAGGCCGACGGAAGAAGUAUUGUUAAGGAACUCGGCAAAAUGACCCCGUAACUUCGGGAGAAGGGGUGCCUGAGAAAUCAGGCCGCAGAGAAUAGGCUCAAGCAACUGUUUAGCAAAAACACAGGUCUAUGCAAAACCGAAAGGUGAAGUAUAUGGGCUGACGCCUGCCCGGUGCUGGAAGGUUAAGAGGAGAGGUUAGCGCAAGCGAAGCUUUGAAUUUAAGCCCCAGUAAACGGCGGCCGUAACUAUAACGGUCCUAAGGUAGCGAAAUUCCUUGUCGGGUAAGUUCCGACCCGCACGAAAGGCGUAAUGAUUUGAGCACUGUCUCGACAAUACAUCCGGUGAAAUUGAAGUACCAGUGAAGAUGCUGGUUACCCGCGCCAGGACGGAAAGACCCCAUGGAGCUUUACUCCAGUUUGGUACUGGGAUUCGGUACUGCAUGUACAGGAUAGGUGGGAGACGAAGAAGUUAGGACGCCAGUCUUAACAGAGUCGCUGUUGGGAUACCACCCUUGCAGUAUUGGGUUUCUAACCAGCCGCUGUGAACCAGCGGUGGGACAAUGCCAGGCGGGGAGUUUGACUGGGGCGGUCGCCUCCGAAAGGGUAUCGGAGGCGCUCAAAGGUUCCCUCAGAAUGGUCGGAAACCAUUUAAAGAGUGCAAAGGCAGAAGGGAGCUUGACUGCGACACCGACGGGUGGAGCAGGUACGAAAGUAGGACUUAGUGAUCCGGUGGCAUAAAGUGGGAUUGCCAUCGCUCAACGGAUAAAAGCUACCCUGGGGAUAACAGGCUUAUCACUCCCAAGAGUUCACAUCGACGGAGUGGUUUGGCACCUCGAUGUCGGCUCAUCGCAUCCUGGGGCUGUAGCAGGUCCCAAGGGUUGGGCUGUUCGCCCAUUAAAGCGGUACGCGAGCUGGGUUCAGAACGUCGUGAGACAGUUCGGUCCCUAUCCGGCGCGGGCGUAGGAUAUCUGAGGGGAGCUGGCCUUAGUACGAGAGGACCGGGCUGGACGGACCACUGGUGCAUCAGCUGGAUACCAAAUCCAUAGCUGGGUAGCCAAGUCCGGAAGGGAUAAACGCUGAAGGCAUCUAAGCGUGAAGCCCCCCCCAAGAUGAGAUGUCCCUGUCUAUAAGACAGUAAGACCCCUGAAAGAGUAUCAGGUAGAUAGGGCAGAGGUGGAAGCACGGUAACGUGUGGAGCUGACUGUUACUAAUCGGUCGAGGGCUUGACCAAA
rnacentral:rRNA from 2 species